GGAGGGCGUCCUUGCAAAUGAAAUGUGUGGUAAGGAUCUGAUCAUGCCUGCAGUGCUUUAACUAACUCGGAUUUGAUGGUGAAGGGAGUUAAUUGAAGGUCAUGACCGGAAGUUAUUUAACCCCUCUGCGUUCUCCGAUCUCUAUAGGUCAUCCCCCGUUUCUUCCGAUCUUGUUGUGAAUGACCUCUCUUAAGAUUGUUAUUCUGAUCUCUAUCUUCUUUUGCAUCCGAUUCUUUAUAUUUCACGCUCUCACUAUUUUCCAACCUCGUACUCAAUCUGACCUGUAUCGGUC
rnacentral:misc_RNA from 1 species